rnacentral:tRNA from 1 species
GGAGAAGUACCGAAGUGGCUAUAACGGCACCGACUCGAAAUCGGUUGGGGGCAUAACGCUCCACGCGGGUUCGAAUCCCGCCUUCUCCG